rnacentral:rRNA from 1 species
GCAAGUCGCACGAGAACGCUUCAGCUUGCUGAAGUUAGUAAAGUGGCGCACGGGUGAGUAACGCGUGGGUAAUCUCCCCCCGAAUUGGGGAUAACAUUGCGAAAGCGAUGCUAAUACCGGAUAAUAUCUAAAGUACCCCGGUACUUAAGAUCAAAGGUGGCCUCUACAUGUAAGCUAUUGUUUGGGGAUGAGCCCGCGUACCAUUAGCUUGUUGGUAGGGUAACGGCCUACCAAGGCUGCGAUGGUUAGCUGGUCUGAGAGGAUGAUC